rnacentral:rRNA from 1 species
CUUUGUGGGUACUCGAGCGGCGAACGGGUGAGUAACACGUGAGUAACCUGCCCUUGGUUUCGGGAUAAGCCUGGGAAACUAGGUCUAAUACCGGAUAUGACCAUCUCUCGCAUGGGGGGUGGUGGAAAGUUUUUUCGACCGGGGAUGGGCUCGCGGCCUAUCAGCUUGUUGGUGGGGUGAUGGCCUACCAAGGCGACGACGGGUAGCCGGCCUGAGAGGGCGACCGGCCACACUGGGACUGAGACACGGCCCAGACUCCUACGGGAGGCAGCAGUGGGGAAUAUUGCGCAAUGGGCGGAAGCCUGACGCAGCGACGCCGCGUGAGGGAUGAAGGCCUUCGGGUUGUAAACCUCUUUCAGCACCGACGAAGUGCCGGGUUCGCUUUUGGCGGGUUUGGUGUGACGGUAGGUGCAGAAGAAGCGCCGGCUAACUACGUGCCAGCAGCCGCGGUAAUACGUAGGGGGCUAGCGUUGUCCGGAUUUAUUGGGCGU